rnacentral:rRNA from 1 species
GACGACUUAAAUACGCGACGGGGCAUUGUAAGUGGCAGAGUGGCCUGGCUGCCACGAUCCACUGAGAUCCAGCCCCACGUCGCACGGAUUCGU